rnacentral:rRNA from 1 species
CAGCAGCCGCGGCAAGACGAACCGUGCGAACGUUAUUCGGAAUUACUGGGCUUAAAGCGCGUGUAGGCGGGUCGGCACGUCGGUCGCUGAAAUCCCCCGGCUCAACCGGGGAAGUGGCGCCGAUACGGCCGGCCUGGAGGGGGGUAGGGGGGCCUGGAACUUCCGGUGGAGCGGUGAAAUGCGUUGAGAUCGGAAGGAACGCCCGUGGCGAAAGCGAGGCCCUGGACCCUUUCUGACGCUGAGACGCGAAAGCCAGGGGAGCGAACGGGAUUAGAUACCCCUGUAGUCCCUGUCUCUUAUU